ensembl:lncRNA
AAGCAAUACUGCAUUCCAUGUAAAGACAUGACGGGUACUGGAUUUACAAGUCUAGAAGGGAAUAAAUGAGACUUCAGCAGCUGAAAUAAGAAAGCUGUUACCUGGAGGGAGUAAUAUUUUCAGAUCUAAGACUACUUGAAGAAGUUGAAGGAUCCAGCAGGAUAUAGGGUGGAGAGUGGCCAAUGUGCUGUACUGGACCUAACAGCAGGGUGAUGGCAGCCCAGCCUCCCAGCAUAUAGAGGAUCCAAUCUGAAAUCCUAGCUGGAUUGCAGGACCAGCAUGCCAGCUGCAAGUAUGCAUACUUUGGGCCAACAGCAGUGAAAAUACUGGCCAUGGACCCAGUCAUGCUGACAGACAGGAGAAGAGGGUUGGUGUAGAUGAGAAAACUUAGCUAUCCUGUUGACUGAUGAG